GACGAACGCUGGCGGCGUGCCUAAUACAUGCAAGUAGAACGCUGAAGGAGGAGCUUGCUUCUCCGGAUGAGUUGCGAACGGGUGAGUAACGCGUAGGUAACCUGCCUGGUAGCGGGGGAUAACUAUUGGAAACGAUAGCUAAUACCGCAUAACAGUAGAUAUUGCAUGAUAUCUGCUUGAAAGGUGCAAUUGCAUCACUACCAGAUGGACCUGCGUUGUAUUAGCUAGUUGGUGAGGUAACGGCUCACCAAGGCGACGAUACAUAGCCGACCUGAGAGGGUGAUCGGCCACACUGGGACUGAGACACGGCCCAGACUCCUACGGGAGGCAGCAGUAGGGAAUCUUCGGCAAUGGACGGAAGUCUGACCGAGCAACGCCGUGUGAGUGAAGAAGGUUUUCGGAUCGUAAAGCUCUGUUGUAAGAGAAGAACGAGUGUGAGAGUGGAAAGUUCACACUGUGACGGUAUCUUACCAGAAAGGGACGGCUAACUACGUG
rnacentral:rRNA from 1 species